rnacentral:rRNA from 1 species
GAAGGAUGAAGGUCCUCUGGAUUGNAAACUUCUUUUAUCUGGGACGAAAACGGGAUUUUUAUCUCAAUUGACGGUACCAGAGGAAUAAGCACCGGCUAACUCCGUGCCAGCAGCCGCGGUAAUACGGAGGGUGCGAGCGUUAUCCGGAUUUACUGGGUUUAAAGGGUGCGUAGGUGGGCUUAUAAGUCAGUGGUGAAAUCUCCGAGCUUAACUUGGAAUCUGCCGUUGAUACUAUAGGUCUUGAAUUAUCUGGAGGUAAGCGGGAUAUGUCAUGUAGCGGUGAAAUGCUUAGAUAUGACAUAGAACACCAAUUGCGAAGGCAGCUUACUACAUAUAAAUUGAUGCUGAGGCACGAAAGCGUGGGGAUC